AUGCAAGACACAAACGUUAGUCAACAACAAACGAAAGAAAGUUCGCAACUUCCACCAAAGAUGUUGGUUUCCGGACAAAACAAGAACGAGGGUUACUUGCCCAUGUCUCAACGGUUCAGACCGGCUUGCACGUGCUCGAGCCGACCCGGUUCAGUUCAAUGUGCGCGUCAUGGGUAUGUUGUACCAGGGGAAAGGAUGAAGAAGCGCGUUGCGAGCAAAGAGAUUUUGAGAAGAGCUUUGAUGCCAGCGCCGAAACGGUUUGCACUUAGAUGGUUGAAUUUCAAACCGACACCUAGUAGACUCUCUGUCAUGUCCUUGGCUUCAUGA